AAAAAUGCAUUGGUUUGUUUCUAUUUAAGAAAUUUUCAGGGAGUAAAUUAUAGGGCUUGGGGAUGAACCAGUUAAAGGGAUAGAGAUAUCAAAGAUGAAGCCUGGGUGCAUAGCAUGCCUUGCAGGAUAGAUAGUGGUACCAUUCACUGAGAGAUGAAACUCUAGAACAGGACCCAUUUUGGGGGGAAAUAUCACAAGUUCAGGUUUAGAAAAGUUGAUUUUGAGAUCACUUUGAGACACGUAUGUAUAGUUAUCAAAUGCAGGCCUGGAAGUGAGCUGAAGAUAAGCAACCACUGUGCUCCCGCUUAAUGAAAAGUUGACACUCAUCCCUCUGUUAGUGGAUGCUAGCUUGCCCCAGUCAGAGUCUCCUCUUACUUCACAUGCUUGAAAUGGGUACAUCCUACUUGAAAGCACCACUGAUUGGAAACUGAGCAAGGAGCCAACAGGAGUAUAAAUCCAAGAUCAAUGUUGAGCAUGUGUUGAAGGGAGAAAGAAAGUGAGUGGUUAGAAAUCAGAUUUGCCAGCAUGAGGGGUCACCACUUCCACCUGCCAUAAUUUGCAGAGAUGAGAAUUAAGGUCUCACACUAGUCACUCAUGUAAGACCUGAGCUAAUUGGAUAAUUUGAUAAUAGAACUGUCACUUGGAAUAGGACUUUAAAAGUUAUCUAGAUCAAUCCUUGCCUUUUUCAAUUGAAAUUGAGGUCCAGAGAGGAUAAAUGACUUAUCUAAAGUCACCAUGCACAUUGAUGACAGAGCAUGGCUGCCUUUGAUCUUUAUUUUACAGUCUUACUUGGUUCUGUCCAGUAUUUUGAAUGUGAGUGGAGUGACAUGCAGUAUUAUUUUACUGUCUGGCACUUUGUGUGUAGAUGUUGGUCAGAUAGCCCCAGGCCCCUUUAGUUAAAAGACACAGUGUUUUGUGGCUUUUUGCUAGCACAUAGUUAUAAAUCACCCUCAUGAAAUCCAGAAUAGCUUGGAUAAUGAUAUGAACCUUAACUACGAAUUUAGCAGUCUGUAACAGCAUCCAGCAGUUUUAGUUUAUCACUGUCCCAAGGGGAGAAAGGAGAAAAAAAAAACAGCAUAAGAAACA